UAGUCCACGCCGUAAACGAUGAGUGUUAGAUGUUGGACUUAAGUUCAGUGUCACAGCUAACGCGUUAAACACUCCGCCUGGGGAGUACGGUCGCAAGAUUAAAACUCAAAGGAAUUGACGGGGACCCGCACAAGCGGUGGAGCAUGUGGUUUAAUUCGAUGCUACGCGAAGAACCUUACCACCCUUUGACAUCUUGGUCGCGGAUUAGAGAGAUCUUUUCCUUCAGUUAGGCUGGACCAAUGACAGGUGUUGCAUGGCUGUCGUCAGCUCGUGUCGUGAGAUGUUGGGUUAAGUCCCGCAACGAGCGCAACCCUCAUCCUUAGUUACCAGCACGUUAUGGUGGGCACUCUAAGGAAACUGCUCGCGCCAAGCGAGAGGAAGGUGGGGAUGACGUCAAGUCAUCAUGGCCCCUACAGGGUGGGCUACACACGUGCUACAAUGGCGGUGACAACGGGUUGCUACCCAGCGAUGGGAUGCUAAUCUCGAAAAGCCGCCUCAGUUCGG
rnacentral:rRNA from 1 species